AAGUAUGUUAUGCAUAAGCUAUGAGGAUUGAAAAUCCUCGUGUCGGCGGUUCGAUUCCGUCCCUGGGCACCA
rnacentral:tRNA from 1 species